rnacentral:rRNA from 1 species
GUGCCAGCAGCCGCGGUAAUACAGAGACUGCAAGCGUUAUUCGGAUUCACUGGGCGUAAAGGGUGCGCAGGCGGCCAAGUGUGUGAGGCGUGAAAGCCUGGAGCUUAACUCCAGAAUUGCACCUCAAACUACAUGGCUAGAGCAUUGGAGAGGGUAGCGGAAUUCACGGUGUAGCAGUGAAAUGCGUAGAUAUCGUGAGGAACACCAGAGGCGAAGGCGGCUACCUGGACAAUUGCUGACGCUCAGGCACGAAAGCGUGGGGAGCAAAAGGGAUUAGAUACCCCUGUAGUCC